rnacentral:tRNA from 1 species
GGGCCUGUAGUCUAAUGGCAGGACGCCGCCCUCACAUGGCGGUAAUUCCGGUUCGAGUCCGGGCGGGCCCA